rnacentral:tRNA from 1 species
ACCCUGGCGGACCAGCCCGGAGUGGUCGUCACUCUCUCCAAGUGAAGAGCGUGGGUUCAAAUCCCAUCCAGGGUA